UCCUGUUCUGUGGGACGUUCUCGCUUAUGGGCAGGAUGUACCUUGCGUCUGUCUGUUUACAAUCAUUUGACUUGAAGGAAGGUUUAUGUUUUCUUCCUGACUGUCUUCUACCAAUCAGGACUUUCACUUGGAGGACAAGCUGCAAGUCAAGGAUGGAUGGUUUUAAAAGUGGAUUUCUUCAUUGUUGAUCAGACUGGAUUGGUGAACACGACAAGUGCACUUCUAAGCCAGGUAGAAACAUUGUUAUCAUCCCAGUUUCCUGCUGGAACCUUCACACUAGUGAUAGUUGGAAAUUCAACAGAGUAAAUAAAGGGAUGUCUUCAGGAAAGUCUGAAAGGCUGACGCAAAGCAUAAAUGAAAAUGUUCUAAAACAACCUUUUGCUUGCUAGAUGGAGGAAUCCAUGGCUCAAUGGGCAUAUGCAAUAAAUCAAUGAAUGAA